rnacentral:rRNA from 1 species
UGCCAGUAGUCAUAUGCUUGUCUCAAAGAUUAAGCCAUGCAUGACUAAGUAUAAGCAAUUAUACCGCGAAACUGCGAAUGGCUCAUUAUAUAAGUUAUCGUUUAUUUGAUAAUACUUUACUACUUGGAUAACCGUGGUAAUUCUAGAGCUAAUACAUGCUAAAAAUCCCGACUUCGGAAGGGUUGUAUUUAUUAGAUUAAAAACCAAUGCCCCUCGGGGCUCUCUGGUGAAUCAUGAUAACUAGUCGAAUCGACAGGCCUUGUGCCGGCGAUGGCUCAUUCAAAUUUCUUCCCUAUCAACUUUCGAUGUUUGGGUCUUGUCCAAACAUGGUGGCAACGGGUAACGGAGGGUUAGGGCUCGACCCCGGAGAAAGAGCCUGAGGAACGGCUACUACAUCCAAGGAAGGCAGCAGGCGCGCAAAUUACCCAAUCCCGACACGGGGAGGUAGUGACAAUAAAUACUGAUACAGGGCUCUUUUGGGUCUUGUAAUCGGAAUGAGUACAAUUUAAAUCCCUUAACGAGGAACAAUUGGAGGACAAGUCUGGU